GCAGUUGGCGGAAACAGAAUGAAACGUAGGGCAGGAUUUGUGGAAUAGAAAACCCACGCCCCAGGACCGCCUCGCAGACUUCGCUAAGCAGUAGCCGCUUCUCUCGCCCACCGAGCUGCCUCCCACUACCUCGUUAGGAAAAGCGGGAACCAACCAGGGCUCGGGAAGGAGGCGCGCUACUUACCGCCCACGACGCUAAAGAGAAGCAAAACGAGAAUUCGGAAGUGACAGUGAGAUCUCCAAAAAGAUCCACCAACCAUGUGAGGCGAGCAAUGCCACUGAAAGAUGGGAAUCCUGAAUAUCUUUCAUCCAAUGGACCCCCUUUAGAAAUAAUAAAGAAAACUUAAAGACUGGAAAAGAGAAGAUUUUAAAAUAUCUUCACAUAGAACUUAAAAAUUAGAAAGUAUGAGACCUGAUCUACACAUACAUCCAUGGUCUAAAAGAGUUUGGAAUAACAUUGCUGAAGUGAGGAAAAAAAAGAAGAACUGGCAAGGCAUAGCAAUUACUGUAGUGCAAGACUGCUGUGAACGUCUUGGAGUUACGCCAGGCUAGAAGAGAAGCAUCCGGGUGUGUGAGCAGAGCCUCCCGCCACCACCUCUACCUCCACUACCGUACUGGGCUAAACCAAGCUGAACUGGGAGCAAUCCACCUCUGCUCAUAACCAUCACUGCCUGGAAAAGCCAAGGUGUUGAUAUUUUUCUGAAUUUGUUCCAAACCAUAUUGUCUGCAAUAAAGACAGAAUUGAAACCUGUGUGACACUAACUUCAGUUAAUAUAUAUGUUAUGCUAUAAGUCACCUGUUUUGAUUUUAGACAGCCUGUCGUUGGAAUAUUUGGAAUGCAAGGUGCUAUGUGGAAUAUAGCUCUUAUGAAUUUAGCAUGGACCCUUUCAAAAAAAGUAAAGGAAGUAUAAUGUCAAUGUUUAGUAGGAUUACAAAGUCAUUACGUGUUAGCCUUAGCUGAAAAGAGAAUUGUAGGAUCAUUAUAAAGAUUAUACAUAAGCAACAGUGACCAUCUAUCUAUAGUAGUAUUCACAAGCUUAGUCCAUAGACUUACUAUGCAAACUAGAUGAAAUCCAGGGCUAAAAUCACUUAAUGCAGGAUAUGUUGUUGGUAUGAGCUCCCUGUGGGGGCUUGGGGGGGGGGGAGAAGGGCCUUCAAGGACCUGGUGGUGGGAAAGGCCUAUGGAGUAUUGUGGGACAAUAGAAGCAAGUCUAAGGGCUAUCAGGACCCUGAAGAGCAGCAAGCCGAGCUUGGGGUGUCUCAGGGGUGUUGGUGGCCAUGGAAAGCCCAGAGAGUCUGAGUCUGCACCAAAUUCCCCAAGUUCUCCAAAUCCUUGAGGCAUACCAUGUUCCAUUUAAUGACCUGCAUGGUCAUUUAACAAUCAUAUCAGGGAUAGCAGAGAAGGAUCAUUAAAAUAGGCUAUCUCACUUAACAGUCACCAUCACUUAAAACCGGAAUGAACAGGCUCAUUAUAAUCAUAAAUAAAGGACUACCUGUACUUAUCCCUCUCUGUAGGAAUGUAGGAAAUUGACUUAAACCUGCUGACUACAGAAUGAUUAGUUUGCUUAAUACAGGUAGUCCUCAACUUACGACCAUAGUUGAA